AACGCGAAGAACCUUACCUGGGCUUGAACCGCACAGGACCAUCUUUGGAAACAGAGACUUCCCGCAAGGGACCUGUGUAGAGGUGCUGCAUGGCUGUCGUCAGCUCGUGCCGUGAGGUGUUGGGUUAAGUCCCGCAACGAGCGCAACCCUUACUCGUAGUUGCUACCUGCAAAGGAGAACUCUACGAGGACUGCUCCGGAUAACGGAGAGGAAGGUGGGGAUGAGGUCAAGUCAGCAUGGCCUUUAUGUCCAGGGCUACACACGUGUUACAAUGCGCGCCACAAAGCGUUGCAAACCCGCGAGGGGGAGCUAAUCGCAAAAAAGCGCGCUCAGUUCGGAUUGCAGUCUGCAACUCGACUGCAUGAAGCCGGAAUCGCUAGUAAUGGCGCAUCAGAACGGCGCCGUGAAUACGUUCCCGGGCCUUGUACACACCGAGACGAC
rnacentral:rRNA from 1 species